rnacentral:rRNA from 1 species
GCAAGUCGAGCGAGAAAUUUAGAUUUGAAACCUUCGGGUGGAGAUGAUAAAUGGAAAGCGGCGGACGGGUGAGUAACGCGUGGGCAACCUACCUUAUACAAAGGGAUAGCCACUGGAAACGGUGAUUAAUACCUUAUAAUACUGUUUAUCCGCAUGGAUGAACAGUCAAAGAUUUAUCGGUAUAGGAUGGGCCCGCGUCUGAUUAGUUAGUUGGUAAGGUAAUGGCUUACCAAGACUUCGAUCAGUAGCCGACCUGAGAGGGUGAUC